UGCGAACGCUGGCGGCAGGCCUAACACAUGCAAGUCGAACGAACUCUUCGGAGUUAGUGGCGGACGGGUGAGUAACACGUGGGAACGUGCCUUUAGGUUCGGAAUAACUCAGGGAAACUUGUGCUAAUACCGAAUGUGCCCUUCGGGGGAAAGAUUUAUCGCCUUUAGAGCGGCCCGCGUCUGAUUAGCUAGUUGGUGAGGUAAUGGCUCACCAAGGCGACGAUCAGUAGCUGGUCUGAGAGGAUGACCAGCCACAUUGGGACUGAGACACGGCCCAAACUCCUACGGGAGGCAGCAGUGGGGAAUCUUGCGCAAUGGGCGAAAGCCUGACGCAGCCAUGCCGCGUGAAUGAUGAAGGUCUUAGGAUUGUAAAAUUCUUUCACCGGGGACGAUAAUGACGGUACCCGGAGAAGAAGCCCCGGCUAACUUCGUGCCAGCAGCCGCGGUAAUACGAAGGGGGCUAGCGUUGCUCGGAAUUACUGGGCGUAAAGGGCGCGUAGGCGGACAUU
rnacentral:rRNA from 1 species